AGGAUAAUAGUUUAUAAAAACAUUUAAUUUGCAAUUAAAAAAUAUUAAUUAAUUUAAUUUUUCUUA
rnacentral:tRNA from 1 species